rnacentral:rRNA from 1 species
UACGUAGGGUGCAAGCGUUAAUCGGAAUUACUGGGCGUAAAGCGUGCGCAGGCGGUUCGGAAAGAAAGAUGUGAAAUCCCAGAGCUUAACUUUGGAACUGCAUUUUUAACUACCGAGCUAGAGUGUGUCAGAGGGAGGUGGAAUUCCGCGUGUAGCAGUGAAAUGCGUAGAUAUGCGGAGGAACACCGAUGGCGAAGGCAAUCCCCUGGGCCUGCACUGACGCUCAUGCACGAAAGCGUGGGGAGCAAACAGG